CCAUUUUUGGCCUAGUGGGUAAGGCGAAGGACUGCUAAUCCAUUGUGCUCUGCACGCCUGGGUUUAAAUCCCAUCCUUGUGGA